CGUGCAGACUGGGGGCUUGAGUUAGUAGGCCUGCUGCUGGGUUCGCGUGGAAGCUGGGAGCAGGGAGGACGCCGACGCCACGGGGUGCUGAAGGGAAGCGUUCGGCCGGGUUGCUCUUGACCCGGCGAGGGCAGACGGCCGCUGAGGAGCACGCUGCCGGCCCGGCUCGGCUCAGGAGGGGAGCCCGAAAGAAACCUGUGAACUACCCGCCUGGGGGCUUAUGCCUCCGCGCGAGAAGUCCCACUAGUGGCAAGCCAUGGUUCUUCUAAGAGUCAUUUAAAGGGCCUGAGAGAAGAUUUUCUCCAAGAACGGGUAGUUCAGAGGCUCCACAUGAGUAAUCUCUACGCCCAAUGUGGGGCUCAAACUCACCAACCCCAGAUCAGGAGUCGCAUGUUCUUCCAGCUGAGCCAGCCAGGCGCCCCAGGCUCUUCUAUCCAGCUCAUCUUUUAACUCAGGCUGAUGGAAACCAAAAGCACCCCUCAAGUGAUAGUGACCACCCUGACAAGACCUCCUGCCAACCCAGGCCAUCCAGACCAAUAUGACCAUAACCCUGGACUUGCGCCUGCACAGAUGGACCAUGGAGUGACCUGCAGAAUGACUGACAACUUCCUUUACCUCACUAUAAUACUAAAACUUCUGCUCAAGGAUGAGCACAAGCCUCAUUUACAUAACAUACAAUGUGUGAUAUAGGCCCGUUUCCUUAAGUUGAAUGCACUGCCUUAUGUUCCCCUUUACAUUCCAUGACAAGGCUUCCCUAUCUAAAUGUUCAUCCCAACCCUAAAUAAAAGGAACCCAUUUACCCUUGGCUCGAAAGUCACGGCUUUGGAAGUUAUUCCCUGUGAUCUCCUUAUUUGCUGCAAAUAAAGUAUCCUCUGUCCAACAA